AUUGAACGCUGGCGGAAUGCUUUACACAUGCAAGUCGAGCGGCAGCGCGGGGCAACCUGGCGUCGAGCGGCGCACGGGUGCGUAAUACAUCGGAACGUACCCGGUUGUGGGGGAUAGCCCGGCGAAAGCCGGAUUAAUACCGCAUACGACCUGAGGGUGAAUGCGGGGGAUCGCAAGACCUCUCGCAGUUGGAGCGGCAAAUGGCGGAUUAGCUAGUUGGUGGGGUAAAGGCCUACCAAGGCGACGAUCCGUAGCGGGUCGGAGAGGACGACCCGCCACACUGGAACUGAGACACGGUCCAGACUCCUACGGGAGGCAGCAGUGGGGAAUUUUGGACAAUGGGGGCAACCCUGAUCCAGCCAUUCCGCGUGAGUGAAGAAGGCCUUCGGGUUGUAAAGCUCUUUCGGCAGGAACGAAACGGUCUUUUCUAAUACAAGAGGCUAAUGACGGUACCUGAAGAAGAAGCACCGGCUAACUACGUGCCAGCCGCCGCAGUAACAC
rnacentral:rRNA from 1 species